GCUGCUUUGUAUCCCCAGUCCGGCCCUGGUCCUAGGGCUGAUGGCAGAAGGCAGGCUGUACGAACUCUGGAUAAAGAAUUGGAGUAUCGGUCUGUUGGGUAGCCACCCCAACAGCUGACAGGUGGAAAAUGCUGGCUGUGUUAAAGUUUAAAUGAAGCUGUGGCCGUUGCCCUUACCCAACACUCAGGUGUCAUGUCGUUAUUGGGGGGGUAACAGGUUUUUUUGGUAUUGGGUCAGCAGUCAUGUCAUUUAUUGCUGAGUCACAGUGACAUUGCAUUUUGUGGACAUUUUGUGGGUGUGUUUAUGAGUGUCAUGGGCAUGUUUGUUAUGUUUCUGUAUUGUAUAAAAAAGCAGGCCAUUGAGCCUGGAUUAAACAGAUCAUUUUAUCCCUUCAUUACGUCUAGGCU